AGAGCGAACGCUGGCGGCAGGCUUAACACAUGCAAGUCGAGCGGGCGUAGCAAUACGUCAGCGGCAGACGGGUGAGUAACGCGUGGGAACGUACCUUUUGGUUCGGAACAACCCAGGGAAACUUGGGCUAAUACCGGAUAAGCCCUUACGGGGAAAGAUUUAUCGCCGAAAGAUCGGCCCGCGUCUGAUUAGCUAGUUGGUGAGGUAAUGGCUCACCAAGGCGACGAUCAGUAGCUGGUCUGAGAGGAUGAUCAGCCACAUUGGGACUGAGACACGGCCCAAAACUCCUACGGGAGGCAGCAGUGGGGAAUAUUGGACAAUGGGCGCAAGCCUGAUCCAGCCAUGCCGCGUGAGUGAUGAAGGCCCUAGGGUUGUAAAGCUCUUUUGUGCGGGAAGAUAAUGACGGUACCGCAAGAAUAACGCCCGGCUAACUUCGCGCCAGCAGCCGC
rnacentral:rRNA from 1 species